GACGAACGCUGGCGGCGUGCUUAACACAUGCAAGUCGAACGGAAAGGCCCUGCUUGCAGGGUCCUCGAGUGGCGAACGGGUGAGUAACACGUGGGUGAUCUGCCCUGCACUUCGGGAUAAGCUUGGGAAACUGGGUCUAAUACCGGAUAGGAGCCAUCUUUAGUGUGGUGGUUGGAAAGUUUUUUCGGUGUAGGAUGAGCUCGCGGCCUAUCAGCUUGUUGGUGGGGUAAUGGCCUACCAAGGCGGCGACGGGUAGCCGGCCUGAGAGGGUGUACGGCCACAUUGGGACUGAGAUACGGCCCAGACUCCUACGGGAGGCAGCAGUGGGGAAUAUUGCACAAUGGGCGCAAGCCUGAUGCAGCGACGCCGCGUGGGGGAUGAAGGCCUUCGGGUUGUAAACUCCUUUCGCUAGGGACGAAGCUUUUUUGUGACGGUACCUAGAGAAGAAGCACCGGCUAACUACGUG
rnacentral:rRNA from 1 species